UACAGAGGGUGCGAGCGUUAAUCGGAAUUACUGGGCGUAAAGCGCGCGUAGGCGGCUUUGCAAGUCGGGUGUGAAAUCCCCAGGCUUAACCUGGGAACGGCAUUCGAGACUGCAUUGCUAGAGUAUGGGAGAGGGAAGUGGAAUUUCCGGUGUAGCGGUGAAAUGCGUAGAUAUCGGAAGGAACAUCAGUGGCGAAAGCGACUUCCUGGACCAAUACUGACGCUCAUGUGCGAAAGCGUGGGGAGCAAACAGG
rnacentral:rRNA from 1 species